CCUACGGGAGGCAGCAGUAGGGAAUAUUGCGCAAUGGGGGAAACCCUGACGCAGUGACGCCGCGUGAGUGAUGAAGGUUUUCGGAUCGUAAAGCUCUGUCAGAUGGGAAGAAUAAGGGCAGGGAAAAUAUUUCUGCCUGAUGACGGUACCAUCAAAGGAAGCACCGGCUAACUCCGUGCCAGCAGCCGCGGUAAU
rnacentral:rRNA from 1 species